rnacentral:RNase_P_RNA from 1 species
GAAGUUGGCUAGACAAUCGCUGCCGCAAUAUGCGCUUUGUGUGCUUGUUGCGGGGGAGGAAAGUCCGGGCUCCAUAGGGUAGGGUGCCAGGUAACGCCUGGGCAGUAUUUAUACUGACGACCAGUGCAGCAGAGAGGAGACCGCCAGUUUCGGCUGGUAAGGGUGAAAGGGUGCGGUAAGAGCGCACCGCGUUUUUGGUAACAAAAACGGCAAGGUAAACUCCACCCGGAGCAAGACCAAAUAGGUUCCCUUGGUGUGACCCGCAUCGGGAACGGGUAGGUUGCUUGAGCCUGUGAGUGAUUGCAGGCCUAGACGAAUGAUUGUCCACGACAGAACCCGGCUUAUCGGCCAACUUCCACU